rnacentral:rRNA from 1 species
UACGUAGGGUGCAAGCGUUAAUCGGAAUUACUGGGCGUAAAGCGUACGUAGGCGGCUUGUUAAGCAAGAUGUGAAAUCCCCGGGCUCAACCUGGGAAUGGCAUUUUGAACUGGCAGGCUCGAGUUCUGAAGAGGGUGGUAGAAUUUCCAGUGUAGCGGUGAAAUGCGUAGAUAUUGGAAGGAAUACCGGUGGCGAAGGCGGCCACCUGGUCAGAAACUGACGCUGAGGUACGAAAGCGUGGGGAGCAAACAGG